rnacentral:rRNA from 1 species
AACGAACGCUGGCGGCAGGCUUAACACAUGCAAGUCGAGCGCCUCGCAAGAGGAGCGGCAGACGGGUGAGUAACGCGUGGGAACGUACCCUUAUCUUCGGAAUAGCUCUGGGAAACUGGAAGUAAUACCGAAUGUGCCCUUAGGGGGAAAGAUUUAUCGGAUAAGGAUCGGCCCGCGUUGGAUUAGCUAGUUGGUGGGGUAAAGGCCUACCAAGGCGACGAUCCAUAGCUGGUCUGAGAGGAUGAUCAGCCACAUUGGGACUGAGACACGGCCCAAACUCCUACGGGAGGCAGCAGCGGGGAAUAUUGGACAAUGGGCGCAAGCCUGAUCCAGCCAUGCCGCGUGAGUGAUGAAGGCCUUAGGGUUGUAAAGCUCUUUCACCGGAGAAGAUAAUGACGGUAGCCGGAGAAGAAGCCCCGGCUAACUUCGUG